CUGAUGCCCCCUCCAGGUACCCACUGACCCCCCUCCAGGUGAUCGUCUCUGUCUCUGGGUGCUUUGUGAUCACGGCUUACAGAGAGUUAAUCAUCAAAGAGCCUACCUUGGGGCCCCUCGUGUUCACCCCGUGUGGAGUUCGUAGAACUUCUCUGACAGCUUUCGCCAGUCGUGGAAUCCGAGCCGGCGUCUCCUCAGACUCUGCGGCCGCUGCCCCUCCCCCCGCCUCCCGGGACCCAGCGUGCGUGUGCUCCAGGCGGCCUGUGCUGUCUGCAUGCUUCAUGCCUGACGUGUCUCCCAACCCAAGACCCUCUGGUUAUGUCUCAUACACAGCAAACCCCCGCGAAGGUCUUCGAUUCUGCACGUUCCGUCUGCUGCUUCACAGAUUCCGGUUCUCCAGAGGACCCACCCCGUCUUCAGACGGCCGCAGCCAAGAUCACCUCCACGAGCCGGGCACUGCGCUGACCCAGAGCUGUAAUCUCGCCGCGAGGCUUCGUGUGCACCUGCCAGCCGAGCACCUGGGGUCUCCCCAAAGCUGCCCUCCUGGGGGACUCUGAGCGGCGUUGUGCAUCGCCUCCCCUCCAGGACGCUGCCCCAAACCCCACCUCCCUUUUCCCCUUCUUUCUGCUUUAUUUGGAAGCCCCUUGCCUAGGUGCCCCAAGAACCCAACGAAACCAGAGUGCCCCCGCAGCUCUCCUCCCUGGGGCCGGGGCCGCUCAGGCUCGGGCUGCCCGCGGUCCUGAGCUCCAGUGUUUGGCUCCAGAAACUGUGACGCAGCGGAAGGCCCCGUGGCUCCCUGCGUCUCAGCAUCCACCCUCUGCUCAGUCUUGCUUUCAUGCCAACAGCUGGAAAAGUCCCUGAAGGCGGCGCAGAGUACGGGGCUCAUCUCCAUGAGGUCCUGCCCUCCCUGGGAGCCUGAUGCUGCAAACUCUGGCUAUCCUGGCCGCUCUUGGCUGCCUUGUGAAACGUAGUUUGCGUUUUGUGUCCCGGAUGGGUUUUCCAGGUGUUUUUGGAAGAGGACUUGUUGCAACAUGUUCCAGCAUAACCAGAGUGGGUGCGUUUCUUCUGGUAAAAACAUGCGCUUUUCACCUUUCACUGGGCUCAAGGGAAGUUGGCUCUCGGUCCUCUCAGACACACGCGCAUCUC